rnacentral:rRNA from 1 species
UAGGGAAUCUUCCACAAUGGGCGCAAGCCUGAUGGAGCAACACCGCGUGAGUGAAGAAGGGUUUCGACUCGUAAAGCUCUGUUGUUAAAGAAGAACACGUAUGAGAGUAACUGUUCAUACGUUGACGGUAUUUAACCAGAAAGUCACGGCUAACUACGUACCAG